ACGGAGGAUGCAAGCGUUAUCCGGAUUUAUUGGGUUUAAAGGGUGCGCAGGUUGUUUUAUAAGUCAGUGGUGAAAGUCUGCCGCUUAACGGAAGGAUUGCCAUUGAUACUAUAGAACUUGAGUAUGGAUGAGGUAGGCGGAAUGUGUAGUGUAGCGGUGAAAUGCUGUGAUCUUACGCAGAACACCGAUUGCGAAGGCAGCUUACUAGGCCAUUUCUGACGCUGAGGCACGAAAGCGGGGGGAGCAAACAG
rnacentral:rRNA from 1 species